rnacentral:rRNA from 1 species
GCGUGAGUGAUGAAGGCCCUAGGGUUGUAAAGCUCUUUUACCAGGGAUGAUAAUGACAGUACCUGGAGAAUAAGCUCCGGCUAACUCCGUGCCAGCAGCCGCGGUAAUACGGAGGGAGCUAGCGUUGUUCGGAAUUACUGGGCGUAAAGCGCGCGUAGGCGGCUUGCCAAGUCAGGGGUGAAAUCCCGGGGCUCAACCCCGGAACUGCCCUUGAAACUAGCAGGCUAGAAUCUUGGAGAGGUCAGUGGAAUUCCGAGUGUAGAGGUGAAAUUCGU